GUUGUCUGUGUUGUAUGUUUUACAUCAAGUGCUUUGGUAGAUCUUCUUACGGAUAUUUCUGUAAGUUGUAGACUGUCUCUUUUUGUGUUUGAAUCCAGUUAGUUAUGAAUGAUCUCAUAUAUAUAUGCUUCGUUUAAGUUUCUAACUUCUCUCACUUACGAUAGAUUUCUUAUAGUUGGCACUUCAAGAGAACAAAUGGAGUAGAGGCAUCAGUCAUUUUAUGUUUGUACUUCUGCAUGGGUAUGUCCUUCUGAUUUCUUUUAUGGAUCUGGGAUCUAAAUUAUUUGAGUAUUAGAUACUGGUUUGUCGUGUCUUCCUUCUUGGGUU
rnacentral:lncRNA from 1 species